UACAGAGGGUGCAAGCGUUGUUCGGAAUUAUUGGGCGUAAAGCGCGUGUAGGCGGCUAUGCAAGUCGGGUGUGAAAGCCCUCGGCUUAACCGAGGAAGUGCGCCCGAAACUGCAUGGCUUGAGUACCGGAGAGGGUGGCGGAAUUCCCCAAGUAGAGGUGAAAUUCGUAGAUAUGGGGAGGAACACCGGCGGCGAAGGCGGCCACCUGGACGGAUACUGACGCUGAGACGCGAAAGCGUGGGUAGCAAACAGG
rnacentral:rRNA from 1 species